rnacentral:sRNA from 1 species
UGGGAAGGAUGUGCGGCGACACCCUU